rnacentral:rRNA from 1 species
ACGGGUGGGUAACGCGUGGGAACGCGCCCUUCGGUUCGGAAUAACUCAGGGAAACUUGAGCUAAUACCGGAUACGCCCAUGGCCUCUGGCCCUGGGGAAAGGUUUACUGCCGAAGGAUCGGCCCGCGUCUGAUUAGCUAGUUGGUGAGGUUAUGGCUCACCAAGGCGACGAUCAGUAGCUGGUCUGAGAGGAUGAUCAGCCACACUGGGACUGAGACACGGCCCAGACUCCUACGGGAGGCAGCAGUGGGGAAUAUUGGACAAUGGGGGCAACCCUGAUCCAGCCAUGCCGCGUGAGUGAUGACGGCCUUAGGGUUGUAAAGCUCUUUUCUCCGGGACGAUAAUGACGGUACCGGAGGAAUAAGCCCCGGCUAACUUCGUGCCAGCAGCCGCGGUAAUACGAAGGGGGCUAGCGUUGCUCGGAAUCACUGGGCGUAAAGGGCGCGUAGGCGGCUGAUUUAGUCGAGGGUGAAAGCCCGUGGCUCAACCACGGAAUGGCCUUCGAUACUGAUUGGCUUGAGACCGGAAGAGGACAGCGGAACUGCGAGUGUAGAGGUGAAAUUCGUAGA